rnacentral:tRNA from 1 species
AAAGCUUUAAGUUAAAUAAACUAUUAACCUUCAAAGUUAAAAAUAUGCCUUAGUAUAAGCUUUA